rnacentral:tRNA from 3 species
GUAGAUAUAGUUUAACAAAAACAUUAGAUUGUGAUUCUAAAAACAGAAGUUAAAAUCCUCUUAUCCACC